AGGCAGCAGUGGGGAAUAUUGGGCAAUGGGCGCAAGCCUGACCCAGCAACGCCGCGUGAAGGAAGAAGGCUUUCGGGUUGUAAACUUCUUUUAUCAGGGACGAAGCAAGUGACGGUACCUGAUGAAUAAGCCACGGCUAACUACGUGCC
rnacentral:rRNA from 1 species